rnacentral:tRNA from 1 species
AGCUCAGUGGUAGAGCACUUGCCUAGCAUGCAUGAGACCCUGAGUUUGAUUCCCAG